rnacentral:rRNA from 1 species
AAACUACGCCUACAUGAAGCUGGAGUUGCUAGUAAUCGCGAAUCAGCAUGUCGCGGUGAAUACGUUCCCGGGCCUUGUACACACCGCCCGUCACACCAUGAGAGUUGGCAAUACCCAACGUACGUGAUCUAACCCGCAAGGGAGGAAGCGUCCUAAGGUAGGGUCAGCGAUUGGGGUGAAGUCGUAACAAGGUAAC